rnacentral:rRNA from 1 species
AUGCACGCUGGCGGCGUGCCUAAUCCCUGCAAGUCGAGCGAACAGACGAGGAGCUUGCUCCUCUCACGUUAGCAGCGGACGGGUGAGUAACACGUGGAUAACCUACCUAUAAGCCUGGGAUAACUUCGGGAAACCGGAGCUAAUACCGGAUAAUAUAUUGAACCGCAUGGUUCAAUAGUGAAAGACGGUUUUGCUGUCACUUAUAGAUGGAUCCGCGCCGCAUUAGCUAGUUGGUAAGGUAACAGCUUACCAAGGCAACGAUGCGUAGCCGACCUGAGAGGGUGAUCGGCCACACUGGAACUGAGACACGGUCCAGACUCCUACGGGAGGCAGCAGUAGGGAAUCUUCCGCAAUGGGCGAAAGCCUGACGGAGCAACGCCGCGUGAGUGAUGAAGGUCUUCGGAUCGUAAAACUCUGUUAUUAGGGAAGAACAAAUGUGUAAGUAACUAUGCACGUCUUGACGGUACCUAAUCAGAAAGCCACGGCUAACUACGUG